rnacentral:rRNA from 1 species
GAUGAACGCUGGCGGCGUGCUUAACACAUGCAAGUCGAACGGAAAGGCUCCUGCUUGCAGGGGUACUCGAGUGGCGAACGGGUGAGUAACACGUGGGUGAUCUGCCCUGCACUUCGGGAUAAGCCUGGGAAACUGGGUCUAAUACCGGAUAGGACGAUGGUUUGGAUGCCAUUGUGGAAAGUUUUUUCGGUGUGGGAUGAGCUCGCGGCCUAUCAGCUUGUUGGUGGGGUAAUGGCCUACCAAGGCGUCGACGGGUAGCCGGCAUGGGAGGGUGUACGGCCACAUUGGGACUGAGAUACGGCCCAGACUCCUACGGGAGGCAGCAGUGGGGAAUAUUGCACAAUGGGCGCAAGCCUGAUGCAGCGACGCCGCGUGGGGGAUGACGGCCUUCGGGUUGUAAACUCCUUUCGCUAGGGACGAAGCGCAAGUGACGGUACCUGGAGAAGAAGCACCGGCUAACUACGUG